GAUGAACGCUGGCGGCGUGCCUAAUACAUGCAAGUCGAGCGAACAGACGAGGAGCUUGCUCCUCUGACGUUAGCGGCGGACGGGUGAGUAACACGUGGAUAACCUACCUAUAAGACUGGGAUAACUUCGGGAAACCGGAGCUAAUACCGGAUAAUAUAUUGAACCGCAUGGUUCAAUAGUGAAAGACGGUUUUGCUGUCACUUAUAGAUGGAUCCGCGCCGCAUUAGCUAGUUGGUAAGGUAACGGCUUACCAAGGCAACGAUGCGUAGCCGACCUGAGAGGGUGAUCGGCCACACUGGAACUGAGACACGGUCCAGACUCCUACGGGAGGCAGCAGUAGGGAAUCUUCCGCAAUGGGCGAAAGCCUGAGGAGCAACGCCGCGUGAGUGAUGAAGGUCUUCGGAUCGUAAAACUCUGUUAUUAGGGAAGAACAAAUGUGUAAGUAACUAUGCACGUCUUGACGGUACCUAAUCAGAAAGCCACGGCUAACUACGUG
rnacentral:rRNA from 1 species